rnacentral:rRNA from 1 species
AACAAACGCUGGCGGCGCGCUUAACACAUGCAAGUCGAACGAGAAGCUGUAGCAAUACAGUUGUAAAGUGGCAAACGGGUGAGUAAUGCGUGGGUAAUCUACCCUAGGGUGGGGAAUAACUCCUCGAAAGGGGAGCUAAUGCCGACAUGUGCGCCACUCUCGCAAGGGAGUGAUGGAAAGCCGUACCGUGGGUGCGGCGCCCAAGGAUGAGCUCACGUCCUAUCAGCUUGUUGGCGGGGUAACGGCCCACCAAGGCUGCGACGGGUAGCUGGUCUGAGAGGACGACCAGCCACACUGGCACUGCGACACGGGCCAGACUCCUACGGGAGGCAGCAGUGAGGAAUAUUGCGCAAUGGACGACAGUCUGACGCAGCGACG